rnacentral:rRNA from 1 species
GACGAACGCUGGCGGCGUGCUUAACACAUGCAAGUCGAACGGAAAGGCCCCUUUGGGGGUACUCGAGUGGCGAACGGGUGAGUAACACGUGAGUAACCUGCCCUUGACUUCGGGAUAACUUCAGGAAACUGGGGCUAAUACCGGAUAGGAAUCCUUGCUGCAUGGUGGGGGUUGGAAAGCUUCGGCGGUUUUGGAUGGACUCGCGGCUUAUCAGCUUGUUGGUGGGGUAGUGGCUUACCAAGGCUUUGACGGGUAGCCGGCCUGAGAGGGCGACCGGCCACAUUGGGACUGAGGUACGGCCCAGACUCCUACGGGGGGCAGCAGUGGGGAAUAUUGCACAAUGGGCGGAAGCCUGAUGCAGCAACGCCGCGGGCGGGAUGACGGCCUUCGGGUUGUAAACCGCUUUCAGCAGGGGCGAAGCUUGUGGUGACGGUACCUGCAGAAGAAGCACCGGCUAACUACGUG